rnacentral:lncRNA from 1 species
AUGGCACCUCACUGGGUGCCAGACAGCAUGACCAGGCUGGGGCCAGAGCAAUGAACAGGACCCUUGGUCCUGCCUUCACAGCGCUUCGGGUUGGGGGAGGGGUCCAGUCGGUCCUCAGAAAGAGCGGCUGAGGGAAGGGGGGAGCCUGAGUGUCCUCGCUGCCCGCAGUUCCAGGAGGAUGGAUUCCUGGUGCUGGAAGGAUUCUUGUCUGCAGAGGAGUGUGUGGCCCUGCAACAGAGGAUUGGCCAGAUAGUGGCCGAGAUGGAUGUCCCUCCCCACUGCCGUGCGGAAUUUCCUCCUCGCAUCCUCAACAAGGCAGAAGAGCAGCAGAAAACCCAGAUUAGCCCUGAGCUAACAUCUGCUGCCAAUCAUCCUCUUUUUUGCUGAGGAAGACUGGCCCUGAGCUAAUAUCUAUGCCAAUCUUCCUCUACUUUAUACGUGGGACUCCUACAACAACAUGGCUUGAUAAACGGUGCGUAUGUCCUUGCCCAGCAUUGGAACCAGUGAACCCCAGGUCACUGAAGCUGAGCGUGCGAACUUAACCACUGAGCCACCUGGCUGCCCCCCGCCCCAACACAGACACACACACAGUUCUCUUAACUUCCAUAAUCUGAAUUUAGGAGCCUGUCUCUGGCCGGCCCCCAAGUCAAAGCUGCAGGCCAGGCUCACUGAUGGGGCUCACUCAUGCUGAGGAGCUCCUGCCAUCUGGUGGGAACAAAGGGAAUUACAACAGCUGGAAGCUCUGCCACCCGGAGAACAGGCUCUUGGGAAGGAAAAAGGGUGACAGAACGAUAAUUUCCUCCCAAAGGUCGGUUUCAUUGGGCGACAUGGCAGCCUUCUAAGUGGAGAAAGGAGAGACGGGGGUCCUAUGUCCAGAGACAGGUCACUCAAAGGCUCCGAGGAGUGAGGGGGCCGAAUCUUGUGCCCUCCAAGCUGCCUUCUGAGAAUGCUCCAGAGACCAGGGAGGGGGUGGGGGAUGGAGGGGAGAAGAGUGUAUAUGCCUUGGUUUAUACUGCUUGCGAAGAGCUCGGCACCGUGCCUGGCACUCAAUAAGCCCUCAAUAUUCACUACUGAUAUCGUGAAAGACUUUGAAACGGGUAUUAAAAGAAAACCAGACCAGUGGAUGUCCUGUCUAGAUCUCCCUGCCGGCCGACCUCCACCGUUCCUUGUCUUUGAGUUAUUGGACAACUCUGUGAGUUGUACAGAACCGAUAAUCAUGCACAAGAUACUUGUCCACAGAAAGGGACAUAAACUGGGUCCAGCGGAAUGCAGUUGUUGCCCCGUAGACAGAUCAGUUUUGCAUCGAUGUGUAAAUUGGUUUCAGCAUUGGUUAAUGCCUAUAUGUAUGUGGUUCUUGGAAUUCUCCUUCGAACAUCUUACUGGUUCCCCCUGUGAAUUAACGAGUUCAGUAAAAUCCUUGACACAUUUAGC